GCGGACGCAGUUCCGAAAGGACGCGCGCGAGGAAAGUCCGGGCUCCAAGGGCAAGGAUAACUGCUAACGGCAGCCGGGGGCGACCCCAGGGAGAGUGCAACAGAGAUAUACCGCCGCGGUUUCGCGGUAAGGGUGGAAAGGCGAGGUAAGAGCUCACCGCGCCCUGCGGCAACGCAGAGCGCCUGUAAACCCUAUCCGGAGCAACACCGUACAGGAGAUAAGGAGCCGGCCCGGCUCCCUCCGCAAAGGUGGCAUUUAAGCCGCACGGGCGACCGGCGGCGAAGAUAGAUUGCCGUCAUUACAGAACCCGGCUUAUUUUCCGGU
rnacentral:RNase_P_RNA from 1 species